rnacentral:rRNA from 1 species
UACGUAGGGGGCAAGCGUUGUCCGGAUUUAUUGGGCGUAAAGAGCGUGUAGGCGGUUUGGUAGGUCCGCUGUGAAAACUCGAGGCUCAACCUCGAGACGCCGGUGGAAACCAUCAGACUAGAGUCCGGAAGAGGAGAGUGGAAUUCCUGGUGUAGCGGUGAAAUGCGCAGAUAUCAGGAGGAACACCGGUGGCGAAGGCGGGUCUCUGGGCCGAUACUGACGCUGAGGAGCGAAAGCAUGGGUAGCGAACAGG